rnacentral:tRNA from 1 species
GUCCAGGAGAUGGGAAUCGAACCCACAGUGUUCCGCUUACCGGGCAGAUGCCAUGUCCACUAGGCUACCCUGGA